AGAUACCUCAGCGCUACCUGGCGGAACUGGAUUUCUCUCCCGCCUGCCGGCCUGCCUGCCACAGCCGGACUCCGCCACUCCGGUAGCCUCAUGGCUGCAACCUGUGAGAUUAGCAACAUUUUUAGCAACUACUUCAGUGCGAUGUACAGCUCGGAGGACUCCACCCUGGCCUCUGUUCCCCCUGCUGCCACCUUUGGGGCCGAUGACUUGGUACUGACCCUGAGCAACCCCCAGAUGUCAUUGGAGGGUACAGGUGGGUCUCAGCGGGGUGGGAUGGGGCACGGAGUGGGAGACAGAUCCAUCUAAGGGCCUGUUAGACAAAUGGGGGAAUGGGCAGGGAGGAGGGUCUCUAGGCAAAUUCCAGGGCUAGAGGCUGAGACUUAGUGACUGAGGUGCUGGGGGUUGUGGGGCUGUGACAGGCAGAGGGAGGUGUCAGAUACCAGGACAAGGGUGUUGUGAAUGCUACCUCCUGCCCCUACUCUUGGGAUGGCUCCAAGGGCUGAGGUGUGAAUCCCCAGUGUGCUCCAGGAAUGGGGCUGUGUGGGCUGGGAGUGGCGGCUCACGCCUGUAAUCCCAGCACUUUGGGAGGCUGAGCUGAGCGGAUCACCUGAGGUCAAGAGUUCGAGACCAGCCUAGCCAACAUGGUGAAACCCCGUCUCUACUAAAAAUACAAAAAAAAUUUAUCCCAGCGUGGUGGUGGGCACCUAUAAUCCCAGCUACUGGGGAGGCUGACGCAGGAGUAUCGCUUGAACCUGGGAGGU
rnacentral:sRNA from 1 species